ACACGGCAACAAAGGUCGUGCAAGGAUCUGCCUCAAAAUCAGGGAGGAGAAAGGGAUCCUGAAUUCUCUGAUGGAAAAAUACAACUCAAUGGUUCCGAGCAGAGAAACUCUAUGCUUGGAAACCAUUCUGUCUGGAGAGACACCAUGGCCAUGGCAGCUACCACACAAUGCAUUGGAAGUCCCUUUCAACUCGUGAUUCCCUGAAAGAGCAGUCCUGGCUGGUAUCUGGGGCGACAAUGCAAAAUUCACCAUGGGGCCUAACUAAAAACGGGUUGAAAGGUCUGCAGAGCAUCUUCAGAAAAUGGCAGCACCACAUCAGAGAAAUGAUGGCUCAUGCAAGACAAUGCUACCUUCAAGUUUUGACUGAAGCAGAGACCAUCAACUUCUUGCAUAGUGUUUCAGAUGAUUAUUCUGACAGUAACAAUGACAUUUCUGAUGGUGAACUGUGAAGUGCCUUCCAAAUUACAUUCAUUACUUUAAACUAAAUAUCUUACAUACAUCAGACUGACAUGAAAGAACAAGCUGUAACUCAGACUGACUACUGCGUCUCCUCAUGUGUCUGUAUGGGUCGUGUGUGCGCCAAAUAUCAUGUCCAAUACCCAAUAACGUUCACUACAAAUAUUAUUGUGUAUCCAUAUGUGUGUAGAUCUAUAUAAUAUUUCUACCUUUAGCAGACAUAUCAUAUUGAUUAGCACCAUGAGGUGACGGUAAACCAUACAUUUUUUCUCUUGUGUUUUACAAAUCAGAUAUGCACAUAUACGUGUACAGCUGAAAUAUAUGUAAGAAUGGUUCAGUGAUAUCCUGUAA